rnacentral:rRNA from 1 species
AGAGUUUGAUCCUGGCUCAGAGCGAACGCUGGCGGCGUGCUUAACACAUGCAAGUCGAGUGCGCGCCUGUAGCAAUACAGGUGGCGCACGGCGCACGGGUGCGUAACACGUGGGUAAUCUGCCCUUCGAUGGGGAAUAACUCCGGGAAACCGAAGCUAAUUCCGCAUAACAUUCCUUGGACCUCGGUUCGGGGAUUCAAAGCCGUAAGGCGUCGGAGGAGGAACCCGCGCACGAUUAGCUAGUUGGUAGGGUAACGGCCUACCAAGGCUUUGAUCGUUAGCUGGUCUGAGAGGAUGGCCAGCCACACUGGAACUGAGACACGGUCCAGACUCCUACGGGAGGCAGCAGUGGGGAAUCUUGCACAAUGGGCGAAAGCCUGAUGCAGCGACGCCGCGUGGGGGAUGAAGCUUCUCGGAGUGUAAACCCCUUUCGACCCGGACGAAUGCCCCGCAAGGGGACUGACGGUACGGGUAUAAGAAGCCCCGGCUAACUACGUGCCAGCAGCCGCGGUAAGACGUGGGGGGCCAGCGUUGCUCGGAAUUACUGGGUGUAAAGGGUUCGUAGGCGGUGUGGCAAGUCGGGAGUGAAAUCUCUGGGCUUAACUCAGAGACUGCUUCCGAAACUGCUGUGCUUGAGUGUGGGAGAGGCGCGUGGAAUUGCAGGUGUAGCGGUGAAAUGCGUAGAUAUCUGCAGGAACACCCGUGGCGAAAGCGGCGCGCUGGACCACUACUGACGCUGAGGAACGAAAGCUAGGGGAGCAAACAGGAUUAGAUACCCCGGUAGUCC